rnacentral:rRNA from 1 species
GUCGAGGGGUAACGAUGUCUUCGGACAGGCGACGACCGGCGCACGGGUGAGUAUCGCGUUUGUAACCUACCUUUAACUGGAGAAUAGCCCGAAGAAAUUCGGAUUAAUACUCCAUAAUACUAUGAACUGGCAUCUUUUUAUAGUUAAAGCUCCGGCGGUUAAAGAUGGGCAUGCGUAACAUUAGAUUGUUGGUGAGGUAACGGCUCACCAAGUCUACGAUGUUUAGGGGGUCUGAGAGGAUGGUCCCCCACACUGGUACUGAGACACGGACCAGACUCCUACGGGAGGCAGCAGUGAGGAAUAUUGGUCAAUGGGCGCAAGCCUGAACCAGCCAUGCCGCGUGAAGGAUGACAGCGCUACGCGUUGUAAACUUCUUUUGUACAGGAAGAAACGCUUCUACGUGUAGAAGUCUGACGGUACUGUACGAAUAAGCACCGGCUAACUCCGUGCCAGCAGCCGCGGUAAUACGGAGGGUGCAAGCGUUAUCCGGAUUCAUUGGGUUUAAAGGGUGCGCAGGCGGAACUUUAAGUCAGUGGUGAAAUCUUGCCGCUUAACGGUAAAAUUGCCAUUGAUACUGAAGUUCUUGAAUAUGGUUGAGGUAGGCGGAAUGUGUUGUGUGUAGCGGUGAAAUGCAUAGAUAUGACACAGAACGCCGAUUGCGAAGGCAGCUUACUAAGCCAUAAUUGACGCUGAGGCACGAAAGCGUGGGGAGCGAACAGGAUUAGAUACCCCUGGUAGUCCACGCCGUAAACGAUGUUCACUCGCUGUCUGCGAUACACAGUCGAGGGGUGUCGAGGGGUGUCGAGGGGU